rnacentral:rRNA from 1 species
GCAAGUCGAACGAGAUCUUCGGAUCUAGUGGCGCACGGGUGCGUAACGCGUGGGGAUCUCCCAAAGGGUACGGAAUAACUCAGAGAAAUUUGUGCUAAUACCGUAUAAUGUCGCAAGACCAAAGAUUUAUCGCCCUUUGAUGAACCCGCGUAAGAUUAGCUUGUUGGUGAGGUAAAGGCUCACCAAGGCUACGAUGGUUAGCUGGUCUGAGAGGAUGAUC